AUAACGGUCCUAAGGUAGCGAAAUUCCUUGUCGGGUAAGUUCCGACCCGCACGAAAGGCGUAACGAUUUGGGCACUGUCUCAACGAGAGACUCGGUGAAAUCAUAGUACCUGUGAAGAUGCAGGUUACCCGCGACAGGACGGAAAGACCCCGUGGAGCUUUACUGUAGCCUGAUAUUGAAAUUCGGCACAGCUUGUACAGGAUAGGUAGGAGCCUUUGAAACGUGAGCGCUAGCUUACGUGGAGGCGCUGGUGGGAUACUACCCUAGCUGUGUUGGCUUUCUAACCCGCACCACUUAUCGUGGUGGGAGACAGUGUCAGGCGGGCAGUUUGACUGGGGCGGUCGCCUCCUAAAAGGUAACGGAGGCGCUCAAAGGUUCCCUCAGAAUGGUUGGAAAUCAUUCAUAGAGUGUAAAGGCAUAAGGGAGCUUGACUGCGAGACCUACAAGUCGAGCAGGGUCGAAAGACGGACUUAGUGAUCCGGUGGUUCCGCAUGGAAGGGCCAUCGCUCAACGGAUAAAAGCUACCCCGGGGAUAACAGGCUUAUCUCCCCCAAGAGUUCACAUCGACGGGGAGGUUUGGCACCUCGAUGUCGGCUCAUCGCAUCCUGGGGCUGUAGUCGGUCCCAAGGGUUGGGCUGUUCGCCCAUUAAAGCGGUACGCGAGCUGGGUUCAGAACGUCGUGAGACAGUUCGGUCCCUAUCCGUCGUGGGCGUAGGAAAUUUGAGAGGAGCUGUCCUUAGUACGAGAGGACCGGGAUGGACAUACCUCUGGUGUACCAGUUGUCGUGCCAACGGCAUAGCUGGGUAGCUAUGUGUGGACGGGAUAAGUGCUGAAAGCAUCUAAGCAUGAAGCCCCCCUCAAGAUGAGAUUUCCCAACUUCGGUUAUAAGAUCCCUCAAAGAUGAUGAGGUUAAUAGGUUCGAGGUGGAAGCAUGGUGACAUGUGGAGCUGACGAAUACUAAUCAAUCGAAGACUUAAUCAA
rnacentral:rRNA from 1 species